UGGGGAAUUUUGGACAAUGGGGGAAACCCUGAUCCAGCCAUGCCGCGUGAGUGAAGAAGGCCUUCGGGUUGUAAAGCUCUUUCAGCCGGAACGAAACGGUCACGGCUAAUACCUGUGACUACUGACGGUACCGGAAGAAGAAGCACCGGCUAACUACGUGCCAGCAGCCGCGGUAAUACGUAGGGUGCAAGCGUUAAUCGGAAUUACUGGGCGUAAAGCGUGCGCAGGCGGUUUUGUAAGUCAGAUGUGAAAUCCCCGG
rnacentral:rRNA from 1 species